rnacentral:ncRNA from 1 species
GCUUAUUCUCAGGGCGGGGUGCAAGUCCCCACCGGCGGUAAAUUGUGUUGCGGCAUAUCAUGUCGUGGUGCAAAAGCCCGCGAGCGCUCACGUUGUUUCUCUUAUCAAAGAGAGCAGGGUAGAGGUCAGCAGAUCCGGUGUAAUUCCGGAGCCGACGGUUAUAGUCCGGAUGGGAGAGAGUAACG